rnacentral:rRNA from 1 species
UACGUAGGGGGCAAGCGUUAUCCGGAAUUAUUGGGCGUAAAGCGCUCGCAGGCGGUUUCUUAAGUCUGAUGUGAAAGCCCACGGCUCAACCGUGGAGGGUCAUUGGAAACUGGGAGACUUGAGUGCAGAAGAGGAGAGUGGAAUUCCACGUGUAGCGGUGAAAUGCGUAGAGAUGUGGAGGAACACCAGUGGCGAAGGCGACUCUCUGGUCUGUAACUGACGCUGAGGAGCGAAAGCGUGGGGAGCAAACAGG